GGUAAGUGGCGCAAUAGGUUACCGCGUCCGAUUGGUUAUCCGGAGGUUAUGGGGUUCGAUCCCCUUCUUGAACG
rnacentral:tRNA from 1 species